GCCUAGGAAUCUGCCUGGUAGUGGGGGACAACGUUUCGAAAGGAACGCUAAUACCGCAUACGUCCUACGGGAGAAAGCAGGGGACCUUCGGGCCUUGCGCUAUCAGAUGAACCUAGGUCGGAUUAGCUAGUUGGUGGGGUAAUGGCUCACCAAGGCGACGAUCCGUAACUGGUCUGAGAGGAUGAUCAGUCACACUGGAACUGAGACACGGUCCAGACUCCUACGGGAGGCAGCAGUGGGGAAUAUUGGACAAUGGGCGAAAGCCUGAUCCAGCCAUGCCGCGUGUGUGAAGAAGGUCUUCGGAUUGUAAAGCACUUUAAGUUG
rnacentral:rRNA from 1 species